GAUUAACGCUGGCGGCGUGCAUAACACAUUCAAGUCGAACGGUGACGGGGCUUCGGCCCCUGAUCAGUGGCGGACGGGUGAGUAACGCGUGAGCAACCUGCCCUUGUGUGGGGGAUAACGUUUGGAAACGGACGCUAAUACCGCAUAACCCAAUAGUACGGCAUCGUACAGUUGGCAAAGAUUUAUUGCACAAGGAUGGGCUCGCGUCUGAUUAGGUAGUUGGUGGGGUAACGGCCUACCAAGCCCGCGAUCAGUAGCCGGACUGAGAGGUUGAACGGCCACAUUGGAACGGAGAUACGGUCCAGACUCCUACGGGAGGCAGCAGUGGGGAAUAUUGGGCAAUGGGGGAAACCCUGACCCAGCGACGCCGCGUGAGGGAAGAAGGUCUUCGGAUUGUAAACCUUAAACAACAGGGACGAAACAAAUGACGGUACCUGUUAGGAAGCCACGGCUAACUACGUGCCAGCAGCCGCAGUAACAC
rnacentral:rRNA from 1 species